AGUGAACGCUGGCGGUAGGCCUAACACAUGCAAGUCGAACGGCAGCACAGUAAUAGCUUGCUCUUACGGGUGGCGAGUGGCGGACGGGUGAGAAGUACAUCGGAAUCUACUUUUUCGUGGGGGAUAACGUAGGGAAACUUACGCUAAUACCGCAUACGACCUACGGGUGAAAGCAGGGGAUCUUCCGACCUUGCGCGAUUGAAUGAGCCGAUGUCGGAUUAGCUAGUUGGCGGGGUAAAGGCCCACCAAGGCGACGAUCCGUAGCUGGUCUGAGAGGAUGAUCAGCCACACUGGAACUGAGACACGGUCCAGACUCCUACGGGAGGCAGCAGUGGGGAAUAUUGGACAAUGGGCGCAAGCCUGAUCCAGCCAUACCGCGUGGGUGAAGAAGGCCUUCGGGUUGUAAAGCCCUUUUGUUGGGAAAGAAAAGCAGCAGGUUAAUACCCCGCUGUUCUGACGGUACCCAAAGAAUAAGCACCGGCUAACUUCGUG
rnacentral:rRNA from 1 species